UUCUCUUGGCUCUAUAGUGUCCACUUUGAGACAUGGCUUGAAUAAUCUUUGGGAAGGGGCCAGGCUGGGAGCUUGAUCUCACUUAAAUGAUUGUAUGAAAUGGCCAUUUGCAAAAGAAUAUAGUGCAAGAUGGAAGAAUGAAGUGACCACCUCUAGAUUCUAUUCUAACGGACGUGUGGCAUUUUCCCAGGCUAUUCGGGGAUAGGCAAGAAAGGGAAUCUAGAAUACCGAAGAGAGAACUCUGCAGAGCUGCUAAUCUAGGUGAGGACCAGAAGGAAGCCACAUUGUUUAUCCUGAAAGAAAAAGAAACAAGUGUGAAGAUUUCGAGAGCUGGAGGUGAAACAAGUAUCACUCAGCCUACAGAGAAUGCAAACCUCAUGAAUGUAUAUGUCUUGUUCAGCAGCACCUACACUUGUUUUUGACAAGUGAUACUAAAU